AGCCUCAUUCUAGAUGAAAAUGGGCGUUGUUGCUAAUGGUGUCCAAAAAUUGUUAUUGUGGCCAUAUUGAGACACAUGUCAUCCUUCCCUCACAGUACGUGUAUUGCAGCAGUGACAAUGAGACCUGUAACAUUU
ensembl:snoRNA